rnacentral:rRNA from 1 species
CCUACGGGUGGCAGCAGUGAGGAAUAUUGGUCAAUGGGCUUACGCCUGAACCAGCCAAGUCGCGUGAGGGAAGACUGCCCUAUGGGUUGUAAACCUCUUUUGUCAGGGAGCAACGCCGGCUACGUGUAGCCGGACUGAGAGUACCUGAAGAAAAAGCAUCGGCUAACUCCGUGCCAGCAGCCGCGGUAAUACGGAGGAUGCGAGCGUUAUCCGGAUUUAUUGGGUUUAAAGGGUGCGUAGGCGGGCUUUUAAGUCAGCGGUAAAAAUUCGGGGCUCAACCCCGUCCGGCCGUUGAAACUGGGGGCCUUGAGUGGGCGAGAAGAAGGCGGAAUGCGUGGUGUAGCGGUGAAAUGCAUAGAUAUCACGCAGAACCCCGAUUGCGAAGGCAGCCUUCCGGCGCCCUACUGACGCUGAGGCACGAAAGUGCGGGGAUCGAACAGGAUUAGAUACCCGAGUAGUC